CCAUUUCUAGUUGCUUCUCUUUCCAUUCAGAUUUCUCUUAUCUCCCUUUCCAAAAAAAUUCCCAACAGGGGCGCCUGGGUGGCUCAGUGGUUGAGCAUCUGCCUUUGGCUCAGGUCCUGAUCCCGGGGUCCUGGGAUCGAGUUCCACAUCGGGCUCCCCAUGGGGAACCUGCUUCUCCUUCUGCCCAUGUCUCUGCCUCUCUCUGUGUGUCACUCAUGAAUAAAUAAAAGUCUUUUUAAAAAUGUUAAAAAAAAUUCUCAACACUCAGGAGAGGCUCUGUUAUCAGUCAUUUACACAGUAGUGUGAACUAAUCACUAUUACUUCCUUUAUUUGGGGCAGGAGAGGAUUGCAUCUGGAGUCUUAUCUCUAACCUUGGGCUGAAGGUACAGUAUCACCUUGGAAAGAGCUUCAGGCAACACUGAGUAAGCACCUGGGGUAUAUGGUGGACUCAGCAUCCUUGCUGAUGGAUUGGCUGGGAAGUCAUAGCUGGACCUCAUUGCUCAGAUUCUUGGAGGCCAUGAAAGCCAGCUACGGGAUAAAGAGCAACUCUAGUUGGAUGCUCUCGCCUGACCCGCCUUCUGGAAUGCAUGUUUUAUUCUUGAGCAGAGAAAUGCACUCAGCAAAUGUGAGCGUCAGGGCAGGCUGUGAUAGAAAACAGGGUCCCACUCCUGACUCUGAAGACCCCAGGGCUCGGUGUCCAGCUGUCAGACAGCUGGUAGAGGAAAUCAGGAGGUCUGCCAGCCUCGUCCUAGGAUCCUGGGCUUCUGGAACUGAAUGGCUGUGAGGCUCCUGAGCCCACCACAAACUCCAGGGUCCUUUACUGAUGUCUUCUUGACAUUUAGCUGAGGCUAAACGAUUGCUUUGGAGGACAAAAGUACUGCUGGGAAUGUUCAAGCAGAAAUAAGAAAUUUGCCUAGCCUCAAAGUAUUUGAUAAGCACCAAAGGAAAAAUAGUAAGUGGACAGUUGAGAGCCUGGCAGAUAUCACCUUGGCCAAGUGUCAAGGUGCCCUGAGGACACUCAAUACACUCGAAGUUUCACUCCCUGUAAUGCACAGUCCCAGCGUAAUCACGAG
rnacentral:lncRNA from 12 species